AGCUCAGGCACCAUUAUGCCAUGCUACCUGUUCUCUAUUAGUGUGUCACAACCUAAUCCACCUGGCCACACCCCUUGCCCCUGCCCUAGAUAUAAGGCAGGGCUGGGUGGGGGUCGCUUUCUCUCGCUCCCUUCUCUCUGGCGGUGGAUCAUCUUGGCCACAGGCCAGCAGUUCGGAAAUAAACUUUCUCUCCUGCCUGAAUACUACGUGGCAUUCUCCUUUACCGGCUACCUACUUUAAAAACCUAACAAGAAUAUAUUUAUCAUUUUCUCCAUU